rnacentral:ncRNA from 1 species
ACUAAAAAGGCAAAAUUGUCGUAAGGCAGUGACGCAAAGCCACAGAUCCUGACUGAAAAAGGCAGGAUGGCUGGGUUGCAG